rnacentral:rRNA from 1 species
CGGCGCCACAAGUGGUGAUCAUGUUUAUUGGGCCUAAAGCGUUCGUAGCCGGUUUGAUAAAUCUUCUGUGAAAUUGUCAGGCUUAACCUGACAGCGUGCAGAAGACACUAUCAGACUAGGGACCGGGAGGAGUCAGAGGUAUUUUUGGGGGAGCGGUAAAAUGCUAUAAUCCCAAGAAGACUAACUGUGGCGAAGGCGUCUGACCAGAACGGAUCCGACGGUGAGGGAUGAAAGCUGGGGGAGCAAACCGGAUUAGAUACCCGAGUAGUCC